rnacentral:rRNA from 1 species
CCUACGGGAGGCAGCAGUGAGGAAUAUUGGUCAAUGGGCGGGAGCCUGAACCAGCCAAGUCGCGUGAGGGAAGACGGUCCUAUGGAUUGUAAACCUCUUUUGUCGGGGAGCAAAAGCCGGACGUGUCCGGCUGUGAGAGUACCCGAAGAAAAAGCAUCGGCUAACUCCGUGCCAGCAGCCGCGGUAAUACGGAGGAUGCGAGCGUUAUCCGGAUUUAUGGGGUUUAAAGGGUGCGCAGGCGGAUUUUUAAGUCAGCGGUCAAAUCGUGGGGCUCAACCCCAUCCAGCCGUUGAAACUGGGGAUCUAGAGUGUGCGAGAGGUAUGCGGAAUGCGUGGUGUAGCGGUGAAAUGCAUAGAUAUCACGCAGAACCCCGAUUGCGAAGGCAGCAUACCGGUGCACAACUGACGCUCAGGCACGAAAGCGUGGGUAUCGAACAGGAUUAGAUACCCCUGUAGUC